CCCAUCAAAAUAUUACAAAUCACCCGCUCCUUCUAAAUACUAUAAAUCACCGUCACCAUCAAAAUAUUAUAAGUCACCAGUUUAUUACAAGUCUCCACCACCACCACCAGCUUAUUAUGAGAAAUCAACUUCUUACUACAAGUCCCCUCCCCCUCCACCGUACUACAAAGAAUCUACUCCUUCCUAUAAAUCUCCUGCCCCUCCAUCAUACUACAAAGAAUCUAUGCCUUCCUAUAAAUCCCCUCCCCCUCCCCCAUACUACAAAGAAUCCAGCCCUUCUUACUAUAAAUCCCCUCCACCUCCACCAUACUACAAGGAAUCUAACCCUUCCUAUAAAUCCCCUCCCCCUCCCCCAUACUACAAAGAAUCCACCCCUUCUUACAAAUCCCCUCCCCCACCACCAUACUACAAAGAAUCUACGCCUUCCUAUAAAUCCCCUCCUCCUCCUCCAUACUACAAAGAAUCCACCCCUUCCUAUAAAUCCCCUCCCCCUCCACCAUACUACAAAGAAUCUACCCCUUCUUAUAAAUCCCCUCCACCUCCCCCAUACUACAAAGAAUCCAUGCCUUCCUAUAAAUCCCCUCCACCUCCUCCAUACUACAAAGAAUCCACACCUUCCUAUAAAUCUCCUCCAC
rnacentral:lncRNA from 1 species